UACAGAGGGUGCGAGCGUUGUUCGGAAUUAUUGGGCGUAAAGAGCUCGUAGGCGGCCUGUUGCGUCCGCUGUGAAAGCCCGGGGCUUAACCCCGGGUCGGCAGUGGAUACGGGCAGGCUAGAGGUAGGUAGGGGAGAAUGGAAUUCCCGGUGUAGCGGUGAAAUGCGCAGAUAUCAGGAGGAACACCGGUGGCGAAGGCGGGUCUCUGGGCAGUAACUGACGCUGAGGAGCGAAAGCGUGGGGAGCGAACAGG
rnacentral:rRNA from 1 species